UACGGGGGGCGCAAGCGUUAUUCGGAAUUAUUGGGCGUAAAGGGCGCGCAGGCGGUCUUGUCCGUCAGGUGUGAAAGCUCGGGGCUCAACCCCGGAAGUGCACUUGAAACAGCAAGACUUGAAUACGGGAGAGGAAAGCGGAAUUCCUGGUGUAGAGGUGAAAUUCGUAGAUAUCAGGAGGAACACCGAUGGCGAAGGCAGCUUUCUGGACCGAUAUUGACGCUGAGGCGCGAAGGCGUGGGUAGCAAACGGGAUUAGAUACCCCGGUAGUCCACGCAGUAAACGUUGUACACUCGGUGUAGCGGGUAUUAAAACCUGCUGUGCCCAAGCUAACGCAUUAAGUGUACCGCCUGGGAAGUACGGUCGCAAGACUAAA
rnacentral:rRNA from 1 species